rnacentral:rRNA from 1 species
ACAAGCGGUGGAGCAUGUGGUUUAAUUCGACGCAACGCGAAGAACCUUACCAGGGCUUGACAUCCCCUGACCGCGUAUGAAAGUACGUUUUCACCCUCGGGUGACAGGGAGACAGGUGGUGCAUGGUUGUCGUCAGCUCGUGUCGUGAGAUGUUGGGUUAAGUCCCGCAACGAGCGCAACCCCUACGUUUAGUUGCUAACGCGUGAAGGCGAGCACUCUAGACGAACUGCCGUUGACAAAACGGAGGAAGGUGGGAUGACGUCAAAUCAUCAUGCCCCUUAUGUUCUGGGCUACACACGUGCUACAAUGGCCGGUACAGACGGACGCAAAGCCGCGAGGUGGAGCAAAUCCUAAAAAGCCGGUCUCAGUUCGGAUUGCAGGCUGCAAUUCGCCUGCAUGAAGUCGGAAUCGCUAGUAAUCGCAGGUCAGCAUACUGCGGUCGAAUACGUUCCCGGGCCUU